ensembl:lncRNA LINC02688 long intergenic non-protein coding RNA 2688
AAAAUGGGGACGUCGGGAGCAUUCUCUGGACAGCAGGAGAUGCAUGUCGACAGGCUGGCCCUGCCUCUUCCCACCCCAGAGUGAUGCAGCGGUGUCCUGGACCCCUGGGGAGAGGUGACCCCCCCAGCAGGAAGCUGGGCCUGGUUUCUGUCCCUCUGCAGCCACAAGGCCUGGCUAGGAUGCUGGGAGCACCACACCCUGGAGACUCAGCUCACCAAGGACUCAGGGGCGGGGGCUCCCCUGGCACCUGGGAAGCUGGGCCCCCGGCCCCCUGGACUCCCACCCAGACACCAUCUCAACCCAGGCACUUCCCCCGGGCCAGAGGGCAGCCUGGCAGCCCUGGACUCCGGGAGGGCCGAGUCUGGGGAGCUGGACGACGUCACAUUCCACUCUUGAUGAUGCCGCCCCAGUCCUACAAUCUGGACAGCAGGAGAAGCUGCCCAUUUCCUCCAUCUCCGGUCCCUGGAGGUUCCCCGGAUCCUUUCAGGGAAGACCAUGGGCCCUAAACGAUCUUCAUAACAAAACUGAGAAGUGGCCUGGCUUCUUCACUGCGUGCCUGUGUGCUGGGAUCUAGCGUGGCCCGACUGGGCAGCUCCUUUCCUUCCCUGACGCUGCUCCAGGGGAAAGAAGGACCAGGGUCAAUCCGGGGUGCCCCAGGUGGAUCAGCGAAUGCCCCUGAAGCCAGGUGCCAGUUGCAUCCCCGUCAGAUGCCCCCACCCCAGUCUCCUGAGCCUCAUUAGUCACCCCUCAUUUUCCUCUGGGGACCCCAGGCCCCAGCUCCUGUCUGGUUAGAGGCUGAAGGGGUCUGAGCGACACCUACCCUAGGGGACCUCCGGAGGGGUCUUGGUGUCCUCUGACUUCUGUCCUCAGAAGGGAGCUCAGAAUGCAGCUGAGGCUUCCCCUGGGGCCCAGGGUGUCUGUGUCCGAGCCACAGCCAGAGUGUGCCCUGGAGAGUCGCUGGGAUGCACGGUGGGCUCUCGUCAUCCUGUCCCCACUCCAGGCUCAGGCUGGAGCCGUGAUGGCACCGCUGCACUCCAACCUGGGCAACAGAGUGAGACCCUGUCUCUAUAAAAUAAAAACAAAAAUAAAGAAGA